CAUGUAGGCGGCCGUGCAAGCGUCUUGUGAAAUCCCUCGGCUCAACCGAGGAACUGCUGGGCGAACUGCACGGCUUGAGGCAGGUAGGGGUGCGUGGAACUCUUGGUGGAGCGGUGAAAUGCGUAGAUAUCAAGAGGAACGCCGGAGGCGAAAGCGGCGCACUGGGCCUGUCCUGACGCUGAGAUGCGAAGGCUAGGGUAGCGAACAGGAUUAGAUACCCUGGUAGUCC
rnacentral:rRNA from 1 species